GGACUUCGAUGGGUUGAAAAAAAACAUGUCAAUUUCUUAAAAAGAAAACGGAUCUUUAAUGUCAGUUUUAAAUUGAUAUUGUAGGUAUACCUAUAAUGUCGGUUUAAAAUCGACAUUAAAGAUCUGCCUUUUUUUUUUUUUUUUCUUCGUUUCAGCAUUCCUUCACACCAUCCCGUUUGCUCGCCGGCCACUGCUCAUCUGUCUACCUCCAGCCAGACGCCGUCGGCUGUAGUCGUCCAUCAUUGGCGAGGCUUCUCUUCUUCAAUCUCUCUCUAACAUCUUUUCCUCUCUCACAAAUCUUAUAUUUGUCCAGAUCUGGUAGUCGGCUGUGGCACCACCAUCAGGUCCCCGUCAGUCGUGGGUUGUUGCCGUCGCCGUCAGUCUUGCCUUCGCCGUCUUUGUGGGUUUUCGCCGGAGUUUCUGUUGGGUAGAUUAUCGAGAUUUGCGGAUGAGAUUGCAAGGGAAGAGAAGGCUCAAGUGUUUGUGAUUCGAAUAGAUGCUUGGACUCGAGGAGUGUGAGGGAAGCAUUUGAAGGUGUAUUGUCACUGGGAUUUGUAGAGGUUUUAAUUUACGAUGCAAAUCAACAAAUUUGAAGGCAAACCACAAAAUUUAUCGAUGUUUGUAUCGAUUUAUUUGAGAAAUAUUUGGCUGUUUCUUCAGUGGGUGCUUUCCAUUGCUCCCAACAGGUUAUUCCAGGGAUGGUGGAAAGAGGAAGAUGUACGAUUCUCUUUACAGGCUGCUCAGCUUCUCUAAAUGGCGUUGUUGGUUUCUCUGACCUAUAUGAGUUUUGCAUGCUAAAGGUUUUCUAUGUUUCUGUUGAGAUUUACUGUCUUUUUAGCUGAGAGAGGAUAUUUUGUACAUCAUAAGACCUCUACAACCAAAUAAAUUUGGCAAAACCCUGGGAUAAUAAUUGUAAAAUUUGUUUUUGAUUUAGGACAGGCUGUGGAAAAUUUGCAUUAAGGGCAUUGUCUUAGUGCUUGGCGAGAGAGCUUUAACCCCUUGGAAUACACGUCGCUCAUAUCAUCAUUGAUGGUCUCAUUGGCCCACCAAGGUUUUCAUUAGAAAUUAGUCUUCAUUAGAAUACACCAAGAGUUUCCUAUUUCUCUCAAUUUUUCGUUUGGCUAGUAGACAUGUUUAUUUCCUGAAAUGAUCCUCCACUUAUCAGGUAUUAGACACUCAUUAGAAAGCUCUAGCUCUCUCUAUUUUAUCAAUGAAAAGUAUUGUUUCCAUUUAGGAAAGAAAAAAACACACAUCCCCUAAUUUCGUUAGUUAAUUUUGCCUUUAAAACCUAUGUGUCUAGCAUUUGAAAGCUUCAUAAAAAAUCUGAAUGGGGGAUCAACAUAGUUAAUUUUGCCUCUGCUUUUUGCAA